AUCUAAAUAAAUUGCCAAAAUCAGACUUUUACCAACGACUGGACAACAAAAUAUGAAUGUUCUGUUUCCUUUUGGACCUUUUAAGCAACGGACACAGUGUUCUAAACAAGCAGCAACGACAGUAGAAAAAUCCACAAGUGUAAGCUACAUCACGAAACUUGGUCAUAUCAUAUAUCAUCCAAUCAUUAUGCGGAAGCCCAGCCGACAGGCCAGCCCACUGCCUCAUAGACCCCCGGAGACACUCAACGUCGUUGGACCUAGCCACUCCCUGAGCAUAAUUGCUGCAGGUGUGCAUCAUUAACAGGCCUAUUUCAUCACACCUGUACGGGCAGGAAGACACUGGGUGAUUACUCCCCAUGGACACAGGAUUUCGGAUUCAUGCUUUGGAUUCUUUGCCUCGAUUCCAGUUCUUAGUGGGAGCUAUGCUGACCUGAUGUAAUCGUUUCUGCAGAGGAUCAUGCCACCUUUGCUGAAACAGGUGCUGCUGUAUUCGCCCAGCUGAGCGUGGCAGCAGGAGCAUUU